rnacentral:rRNA from 1 species
GAUCAUGGCUCAGGAUGAACGCUGGCGGCGUGACUAACACAUGCAAGUCGAGCGAGAAGCUCAUGACGGACGCUUCGGUUGGAGUCACGAGUGGAAAGCGGCGGACGGGUGAGUAACGCGUAGGCAACCUGCCCUUUGCAGAGGGAUAGCCUCGGGAAACCGGGAUUAAAAACCUCAUAAUACCGCAGUGAGACAUCUCACGGCGGUCAAAGAUUUAUCGGCAAAGGAUGGG